UGGGGAAUUUUGGACAAUGGGCGAAAGCCUGAUCCAGCAAUGCCGCGUGUGUGAAGAAGGCCUUCGGGUUGUAAAGCACUUUUGUCCGGAAAGAAAUCCUUGGCUCUAAUACAGUCGGGGGAUGACGGUACCGGAAGAAUAAGCACCGGGCUAACUACGUGCCAGCAGCCGCGGUAAUACGUAGGGUGCAAGCGUUAAUCGGAAUUACUGGGCGUAAAGCGUGUGCAGGCGGUUUGCUAAGACCGAUGUGAAAUCCCCGGGCUCAACCUGGGAACUGCAUUGGUGACUGGCAGGCUAGAGUAUGGCAGAGGGGGGUUAGAAUUCCACGUGUAGCAGUGAAAUGCGUAGAGAUGUGGAGAAUACCGAUGGCGAAGGCAGCCCCCUGGGCCAAUACUGACGCUCAUGCACGAAAGCGUGGGGAGCAAACAGGAUU
rnacentral:rRNA from 1 species